rnacentral:misc_RNA from 1 species
GAUGAAGAACGCAGCGAAAUGCGAUAAGUAAUGUGAAUUGCAGAAUUCAGUGAAUCAUCGAAUCUUUGAACGCACAUUGCGCCCGCCAGUAUUCUGGCGGGCAUGCCUGUUCGAGCGUCAUUACAACCCUCAGGCCCCCGGGCCUGGCGUUGGGGAUCGGCGAGGCGCCCCCCGCGGGCACGCGCCGUCCCCCAAAUACAGUGGCGGUCCCGCCGCAGCUUCCAUUGCGUAGUAGCUAACACCUCGCAACUGGAGAGCGGCGCGGCCAUGCCGUAAAACACCCAACUUCUGAAUGUUGACCUCGAAUCAGGUAGGAAUACCCGCUGAACUUAAGCAUAUCAAUAAGCGAGGA